rnacentral:piRNA from 1 species
AGAACCAGCUAAACUCAGUUCUUCACGC